UACGGGGGGGGCAAGCGUUGUUCGGAAUUACUGGGCGUAAAGGGCUCGUAGGCGGCCAACUAAGUCGGAUGUGAAAUCCCCAAGCUUAACUUGGGAACUGCAUCCGAUACUGGAUGGCUUGAAUCCGGGAGAGGGAUGCAGAAUUCCAGGUGUAGCGGUGAAAUGCGUAGAUAUCUGGAGGAACACCGGUGGCGAAGGCGGGUCUCUGGGCCGAUACUGACGCUGAGGAGCGAAAGCGUGGGGAGCGAACAGG
rnacentral:rRNA from 1 species